rnacentral:lncRNA from 1 species
GUUGUGACCCGUUUUUGUUGGUUAUGUUGUCAUAGUUGUGUCCAGGGGGGCAUAUGGGGGAGGGAACGCUGUCACCUCCAGGUAGGUGUUUGUCCCCCUGUGUGCUGAGGGUGUCAGGUUCUUGUCCAGUUCUGGCAUUUAGGUCAACACAGACUAGUACAUGUCCCUGGGCCUGGAAAUAAUUGAUUUCCCCCUCCAGGAUGGAGAAGCUGUCUUCAUUAAAGUAUGGAGAUUCUAGUGGGGGGAUAUAGGUAGGAUGGAGAAGCUGUCUUCAUUAAAGUAUGGGGAUUCUAGUGGGGGGAUAUAGGUAGGAUGGAGAAGCUGUCUUCAUUAUAGUAUGGGGAUUCUAGUGGGGGGAUAUAGGUAGGAUGGAGAAGCUGUCUUCAUUAUAGUAUGGGAUUCUAGUGGGGGGAUAUAGGUAGGAUGGAGAAGCUGUCUUCAUUAAAGUAUGGGGAUUCUAGUGGGGGGAUAUAGGUAGCACACAGGAGGACAUUUUUAUCUGUUGAGAUCAUUUCCUUUUGAAUUUCUAGCCAAAUGUAAAAUGUUCCUGUUUUAAUUAAUG